rnacentral:tmRNA from 1 species
GGGGGCGUUCCGGUUUCGACGGGAAUGCCAAGGCUCAGGCCGCACGUCGUGGAUGUCGUUGACCACGUUAAUACCAAUGGCGCUAUUUAUAAUCGCCAACGAUUAUAACUACGCUGUCGCAGCUUAAUUAGCUGACAGCCGUGCCACCUGUCUUCUCCUGCUGGACGGGAUGGGGCGCAAUAUUCGCGGGAUAGCCGAAGAGAGUCGCCUGCUGGCUCUUAGGCGAAACUAAAGGCAGGCUGGCGCUUAUCCCGCCUGUUUCCGGGCUAAGGAUAAGGGCGAGACUUUAUACGGAACUAAACGUGUAGAAACCUGAUGUUCAGGAUUUUCGGACAGGGGUUCGACUCCCCUCGCCUCCACCA